UUUGAUUCUCGUAUUUU
rnacentral:sRNA from 1 species